UUUCUGAAAUUUGCAGCAAACAUAGUUUCACUCAAUAACAAUAUUUAAAGACAUUGCAAAAGUCAAACAUGUUUAUUUUAUAUCGAUUAAUAUAUUAUCAUUGAACAGAAUUUGGAAAGGUUAAAGAGUCAUCCAGCCUCAUUCAAACUAGAAUCAUAUAUCAUUUGCUUCUUUUAUGGCUUCAGUAUACGCAAGCAACAAUUUUCCUAAGACACUGAAAAUGCAUCCCAAGUCUUCUAUAUAAUGAUGCAGUUAUCAUACAAAAAUUAAACCAAACUACAUGAUAAUCGAUUGAUAAUGGUAGUAUGCUAGUUGGAAAACAAAAUUCUAAAUCAUAUUAAAGAACUUUACCUGGUAGAAACCAACAGAAUUGAA
rnacentral:misc_RNA from 1 species